CCUCGGAGAUCAACUUCUGGUAGCUUUUGCACAAGGCUGGCUUCUUGUCUGUGCGCACCAGGCCACCACACUCCAGGAAGAACUGGUUCUGGGAUCCCGCGGCUUCACCCUCUUCUAUCUCAAACGGCAAAUGCCCAGCACAAGAGCCACAUGUCAUCAGCAAAAGCAACAGCCAACAGAGACACGGUGUCAAGUGACUUGUCAUCUACAUCUGAAGAUGGUGGAACCAAUCUCCAGUGGGGUCAAGACUUUGAUACUUAAUGCCUCUUUGAUCAAAGCCAAAAGGCUGUUUCAAGACAUCCCAAGUUUUCUCUUUGUCCCAGUCUAAGGAGAAUAUGACAACGUCAGAAAAAUACAAAUGUUCUGGAAAAAAGCCAAGACAUGGCAGGCAUGCCCUCCCUGCUUUAGAAUAGUCUUCUAGAAAAAGUCUCCCCCACCCCUCCCCCAGCCCCUAAGCUGAAACACCAGCUGCAGCUGCAGCUGCAGCAGCAGGGAAGACCCACAGAGGCCCGCUGUCCCUGAAGCAAACCCUGCAGCUGUGAA